AUCUCACAUUGAAAGUAAUUAUAUUGACUAUUACUGAAUAAAGAUGAAUACUAAUAUUACAAAAGCUAAGUUUUCAGUAUGAAGAUGCAGGGUAAGUAAAUAGUAAGAUAGCAAGAGAUAUAUCAUGAAAUGUUCUGAGCCACAUAAGUUGAGGACUCCUGUCUUCUCUGACAUAGGAAGUAUAAAGUGUUUACAUAGAUAUCCAAAGCCUUAACAGGAGGAGGUAACAUGAGAAAAAUGACACGUGAAAAGGACUGUCCUGGGCACAAAUGCAUACAAGAGAUUCAGCAGGCUUGGCAGGAAACUAUCCACCAACCAUGACAGAGUACAACAGAUGACAGAAUAUAGCAUGAUAACAGAAUAUAGAAACAGGAAUGAGCAGCUGGUAUGGUUGUCGCUCAAGUCUUGCCAGUGGAUGCCAGGGUACAAUGGGAUUGUCUUCAUCCUUUGUGUGGAACAACACUGGCCUGGGCAUAAAUUCUGUGAUGAGUUGUUUUCCUGGAAUAAUAUUAAUAACAACUUGUUUAAUUUUACAUCUACAUGGUUGAAAAGUCCGUGAGGGUGAUUCUGUCCCCCUUGCCACUCAAACGGAGCAAAGAUGUGGAUUGAAUUGUUUG